UCGGCGGGCGUAUUUCCUCUCGUGAUGUAGGUCGCCGCGACCCGUUGCUGGGGACGUCUAAGGCCCGGGCGGAUUGGUACCCCGACGUCGCCGUCUCGGCGGCUUGGCGAAGGGGGAAACCUCCGGUGUCCUGGCUGCCCUGCGACGGUCGUGCAGCGGAGGGGUGUAUACGCACCUCCUCUCGCGGCGUGCAAAAGGUCGGUGACCCACCCGACCCGUCUUGAAACACGGACCAAGGAGUCUAACAUGUGUGCGAGUCAUUGGGCGCACUAAACCCAAAGGCGCAAUGAAAGUGAAAGGAGGGUGCCUCGGUACCCUCCGGGGCCGAUCCCCGACCGAAAGCCGAUGCCGCCGCGGUUAUCCCAUUCCAAAGCGAGGUCGCUGUGGCGGCGCACACGCGGGGUGAGACCCUUUCCCCCGCGUCGCCGCCGGYCUCGUGGGUGCCCGGCGCGCUCGGCGGUCUCUCGACCUGUACGCAGGGGGGCGCAGGCCCGGGACUUGCCAUUCGACGCCGGCGUGCGAAUCUGUUGUUGGUCAUCUUGGCUCUACUGGGCUCUCGGCUGGCGAGCCGCGUCUUCGGGCGCGGUCCCCGCCUACCGAUCCUGUUCUGUCCGGGGUGGCCUAGCGCGCUGUGCUGUCGGCAAGUACCAGGAGCAGACAUGUUGGGACCCGAAAGAUGGUGAACUAUGCCUGGCCAGGAUGAAGCCAGAGGAAACUCUGGUGGAGGUCCGCAGCAAUUCUGACGUGCAAAUCGAUUGUCAGAGCUGGGUAUAGGGGCGAAAGACUAAUC
rnacentral:rRNA from 1 species